rnacentral:rRNA from 1 species
AUUGAACGCUGGCGGCAGGCCUAACACAUGCAAGUCGAACGGUAACAGAAAGCAGCUUGCUGCUUUGCUGACGAGUGGCGGACGGGUGAGUAAUGUCUGGGAAACUGCCUGAUGGAGGGGGAUAACUACUGGAACCGGUAGCUAAUACCGCAUAACGUCGCAAGACCAAAGAGGGGGACCUUCGGGCCUCUUGCCAUCGGAUGUGCCCAGAUGGGAUUAGCUAGUAGGUGGGGUAACGGCUCACCUAGGCGACGAUCCCUAGCUGGUCUGAGAGGAUGACCAGCCACACUGGAACUGAGACACGGUCCAGACUCCUACGGGAGGCAGCAGUGGGGAAUAUUGCACAAUGGGCGCAAGCCUGAUGCAGCCAUGCCGCGUGUAUGAAGAAGGCCUUCGGGUUGUAAAGUACUUUCAGCGGGGAGGAAGGGAGUAAAGUUAAUACCUUUGCUCAUUGACGUUACCCGCAGAAGAAGCACCGGCUAACUCCGUG